UUGCGUGGUUGAUGGUUUCGCUGUUGCGACGCCAGCCGACGCCUUCGACCAGUCGGCCGAGGCGAACUGUGUGACGUCUGCGUCAGUCGCCCAUCGGACCCGUCUUGAAACACGGACCAAGGAGUGCAGCUUGUGCGCAAGUCAUUGACACAAGUGACUACGGUCAACUGCGAAACGGGAGUGCCGUGUGCGUGGCUCUUUUGCCCGCGCCUUGCUGAUCCCGUCGCCGCCACCGCUGCUGCUGGCGGUGGCGACGGGCGCACAGCGGUGCCGCCGUGCCGCCCGCCGCUAACUUGGCCUUCGGGUCGACCAAGCGAACGGUCGGGCCUGCGGACUCGGAGCGCACACGCUGCUACCCGAAAGAUGGUGAACUAUGCAUGAGCAGGACGAAGCCAGAGGAAACUCUGGUGGAAGUUCGGAGCGGUGUUGACGUGCAAAUCACUCGCCCGACUUGUGAAUAGGGGCGAAAGACUAAUCGAACCAUCUAGGAUGGUGAGUGCGCUACUACGACGAAGGGGCCGUCGGUAGCUGAGAAUUGACGAUAGUACGGUUGUC
rnacentral:ncRNA from 1 species